rnacentral:lncRNA from 7 species
AGGACCAGAAGAACAGAGGCAUUGGAAGCCAAGUCUGCACAACACAGAGUGGGACACAUGGAGAACCUUGCUAUACAGCACAUUUUUUUACAGAUGUGACUGGUAUACCUGAGCUUAACUUCCAUGUAUAUUUUCAGAGUAAAAUCUCUAGACUCUUUUCAGUAGUGCCCAGUACCAGGACAAGAAGUGAGCGAAAACUGGAACAUAGGAGUUUCCAUCUCAACUGUCAUCUAUGAUUCUGUGAUCUGGAAGAAAUUAUGAUACUUGCAGAAAUGGAAAAGCAGGAGUCAUAGAAUAACAUGAUUAAAUCAAAACUCCUGCAUGGACAUUGUUUAAAAGUGGGACUUAGAGGCCUGUGGGAAUAAAAACAGUAUUAUUGUGAGAUUAUUCUACAGAGAGAAGAGAUGGAUUAAUGUGAGAAAUGUGUGGGUGAUAGUCUGCAAUUUUCAAGUAAGGCUUGGCACCAGACUCCAGUGAAAUGAACAGAUUCCAGGUGAACAUGAUGAGAACACAAUCUAACAAACAGCCAUGCUUUGGCUGCCUGCUCUGAUAGCAGCAGCUGCUUGGAAAACUAAGCUGCUUCACAAUUGAAAGAGGUUUACGCCUCCAACUUUCUCUCCCCUGCUGCUACUGUUUGAUUUGUAGUUUUACAGAAUGAAAAGCAUAAUUGCAUACUUUGUACUGAAGAUAUUAGGAAAAAAUAUUUUUAUAUUAUAUUUUUAGAGCAGUUUUCCUUAUUUUGCUGGUACUUUCUUUUAAAAGGCAUCCAAAUUGCUUUAUACUUAUGGUUUCUUAUGAGUAUAUGUCACUAACAACUGUAUUUUUUGCACAAAAUUAGUAAUGGAGUCUGAAUUGAGGUAAUGGAUAAUUAAAUAAUUCACAUAAAAAAAUAAGGUUAAUCUGCAUAGUUUUGCUUUUAAUCACAGUUUUCCUAAAUUAUGUUGAUCCAAAUCUCUGCUACGGAUAUGAAAAACUAUAGCAGCUAACAUAAGGACAUAUUCUUCAUCUGAAUUCUUUGCCUUAAACUGGAGAUUAAAAUGGAUAAUAUAAUCUUAUCCUCAUAUUUUCUCAUGUCCUUGACAUCUGUGGCAGCACUGCAGAGAAUGGGAGAUAACUGCUGCUAUACAGUAUUUACAAUACCAAUUUGAUGUAAUAAAGUAAUUUUGCUGUUACUGCUUUU